rnacentral:lncRNA from 10 species
AACUUUUCCUUUGAGCUAUUUACAGUUUGUAGCAAUUGAGUAAAGUAUACUCCUGUGAACAAAAUUUGGAGCAUAUCUGUUUCUACCUGAAUUCUCCAGAAUUUGUAAACUUUUAAAAAUACUAAGUCUGUUGUUCAGAGAACAUCUGUCUCCUACACCAAAGAUACUGAAGAAAGACUCAUUGUUCUGAACAAGGUAAAAGAAUUAUUCAAUUUGCUCUACAAUUAUCUGUAAAAAAAAAAAAUACAUAUGACUUUGCAAAGAGACUUUAAUGUUUGUGUUCCGUUCGGUUCUGUUUCCUCAACUCUGCUACAUUUCACAGAAAUAACAAAAACCUGCUAUGUACUAAAAAUGCUGGGAAGUCCUUUCCCAUACAUAUUUUUUUGCUCACAGCAAUUCUAAAAGAAAGGUAUUCUCAUUCCCAUGUUUCUGAGGAAGAAGCACAGUCUGUAUGGAGGAGAGUUCAGGCUCUAGUGCAGGUGCCAGGCUUUGAAUAUUGGCUUUACCACUACCUACCAUACUGACCUGGAGCAAGUUACUCACCUAUCUUGAUCUCAGCUUCUUUUUCUUUAAAAUGGGAAUGAUAAUAGUACCUACCUCGUAGGGUUGUUGUUAGCAUUCAGUUUAAUAUAUGCAAAGCACACAUAAUAAUGCCAGGCACAAACAAUGAAUAUCAAACAUAAGGCUUAGACAACUUACUCUAGUGAGCAUUGCUUAGCCAAUUUCACAUUGCUAGAAAGUGGCUAUACCAGAAUCCAAACCCAGAUAUUGCUGACUUCAAAACUAAGACACUUUCUAUUUCAUAACACUGAAGAAGCUGGGAGAAAGGUUAAAAGAGCAUUAUUGAAUGAAAGAAAAGCCUGAUACAUUUGAUUAUAUUAAGAAGCUUGAUUGAUCAAAAGGAACCAUGAAAAAGUGAAGGGGUAAGCUAGAAGACUCAAACUGAGAGUAUACAAAGAAAUCCUACAAAUCAAUAAGACAAAUAGAAAAUGGGCAAAAUUUGAACAGGCACCUUACAAAAGAAAUCCAAAUGAACAAUAAACAUGAAUAGAAGUUUCUCAUUUUAGCAAACAGAGAAAUAUAAUUUACAACCAAAAUAAGAUACCAUUGGUUAUUCACCAGCUUGGCAAAAACUAAAGUCUGCAAACCCAAAUUUAGGCAAAGAGAACUCACACUUGGAAAAACCACUUUGGGAAAGUUUGGUAAUAUAUAGUAAAGAUGUUGAUAUGAAUUCCAUAAGACUUAGGAAUUUCCAAUCUUAGGUGUGUAUGCUAGAGCAGUGGUCUUCGAUUAGGAGGAACAUGGAACUUUGUGCAUGGUGACAGACAGCUGUAUGGAAAUCAGCUCUGCUCUCACACGUACUUCUAAAGUGAUCUGGCUGGUAAUGCGCCCAGGCUUGAGGUUCUUUCCCUCCAUCAUCCCUUUCACAAAGAAAGCCUCACCUCAUCCAGAAUCUUGCUAUGGUGCACUGCCACAAGGCAUCAAACCUUGGGGACAAAGAAAUAAUUUAAUAAUUCCCUUAAUGAAAGCAACAUAAAUUAUCCCCUCCCAUAUCUAAUUCCAUCUCAUCAAGAGUUACGAUUAUCUAUCACAUUUCUAAUAUACUUCUUGUUUUGAUCAACUGUGUACUAUUGAUAACUGCAGAAUUAACUUACUCCAGAAUAACUUUUACACCCUUAGAACUUAGAAUAUUGGGGUCAGAGGAAAUUGUAAAAGAUAAAUUUCAAUUUACAUGCACAUUUUUGUUACAAAGAAAUGUGGUACAGUUAUUAAUAAAAGACUUGAAAAUAGCACUCUCUAGAGUAUUACCCAUUAGGACAAAAUUUUGCUAGAGGCAUGUAAAUAUAAUUUGAAAAAGAAAUGAUAAGAACUUUGACCACUAAGGAAGAAUUUGUUCAUUAGAAAAUGAAUGAUUCUAUCAAAUCAUAUAAAUACCAUAUUCCACUGGAUACAUUUAGAUACAUUUUUAAAGUAAUGCAAAAAAAAGUAAUGUGCAGUUGGUACUUUAAAAUGUUAAUACUUGCAAUGUGCCAAAAAUUACAUUCUAUGACAAGAUGAAAAUUUUUCAGUAUUUAAGAAAGUUUAAAAAAAAUCUUUGAUGUGCUACACAAGCAACAAAAUGUGAAGAUCCCUUUCCUAGAGAAACACAUACACCAGGCUACCUGUACAAGAACAUUCAGAGCACAUGUCUGUCAACAGAACAGGUAAAUAAAUUAUGCCUACUCCGGAUGCCUACUAUGGAUGACUAUAUUACAAUGAAUUACUGCCUAACAAUGAAAAUGAACUACACCUUCACACAAAAACAUAAAUGAUUCUCUUAAAGUUAAUGCUAAGCCAAAGCAGCAAGACCAAAAAUUCUUAUGGUAAGAUUACAUUUAUGUUCAUAACCAAACCAAACCAAACUGUAUCGCUUAGGAAUGUGUGAUAGCUUAUAUUACAUUUCUAAGAAUUCCCUCCUCCUUUCCUGUAAGAGUAUUACUCAGUGCCAUGUGACUUGUGCUCUUUCCCUAUGGAAUCUAGCUCCCCAACCCUUCAACUCCUUGGCUUUGCCAUGUGACAUACUUGAGUCAAUUAAAGGAGUAGACUGAUGCUCAUCACCUUCAAUCAGAGGCUCCAAGAGUUUCCAACAGUUCUAACUGCCCUUUGGAAUCCCAAAAGGAACUUUUCUCUCAAUGUGGAAUCUGGAAUGAAGAGAUGUGAGGAGUAUAUCCUAAGCCCCUAUUGAUGCAAGAAAUACACAUUUGUUUUUGUAAGCCACUGAGAUGUUCCUAUUGUCCAUGAUGGCAGUAAAGCUGAUAGGAUGCAACAGAGGUAGUAAACUUUUCAAGCAAGGCAAGAAAAUGGCUAACACAAAACUGAAGACCGCAGAAAGGUAACAGGUUGUGAUCCAGAAGAAGUAUAGGGAGGGAGGCAUGGAGUAAUAGUAUUGUUCCAACUGCUGAUCUGAGUAGUAGUUACAAAGGCACAUGCUUUAUAUUAUUCAGUAAACUAUAUACAAAUAUCUCAUAAACUUUUCCACAUUUCCUUUUUUCCAUUACAAAUGUAAAAAAAAAGGUGAAAGACAUUAAUUCACAAGGACUUAUGAAUGUCCUUAGCCUAAUACUUUUCAAAUAUAAGUUACUCCAUAUACCUCCCUUUACCAUUAAUGUUAAACAUUUAUCACUGAGAUACUACUAGGAGAUAGAUUACAUUUUACAGUAAAAACCCAGUUCAUUUAUCCUCUGAAAAUCUGUCAUGGAAUGUCCUGAAAUGCCUACCUUACAUGAGACAAAACACCUGUGUAAGCCAAUAUAACUAAAAUUAAUCACACAUUUUUUGCUUUUAAUUCAAUUUACUCAGUAAAUAUGUAGUGUCUUAUAGUAAAAUGAACAAGAUAAACAUAGCCUUCUUGCUCAUGAAACUGACAAACAUGAAACAUAUAUAUAUGUAUAUAUGUGUGUGUGUGUGUGUGUGUGUGUGUGUGUGUGUAUAUAUAUAUUCCCAAGGGCAGCAAGAGCUAUAAAUGCUGCUGCAAAGUAAGGAAAUAAUGUUCCAGGAAAAAAAAAUUAAGUACUGGAUGAUUAGGCUAGAGAUUAGAUCAGGUAACUCAUGCCUGAUAAGUGCUUUAAAAUCUAACCCUUAACAUCUAAUAUGCUCACCUUCAGAAAAUCCUUAAUGCACUACAGACAAGACACAAAAAGAUAAAUAAAUGUUGACUAUAAUAAACUGGUAUUCCCUGCUGGGAUACAACAGGGGCUGGUCAGCUUAAGCUGGUGAGCAUAAGCAGAAAGUGAUAGAAUGACUAUGUGAGAAAGAUUUAUGCUUCCCAUCCACCACAUAGUUGUUCCUGAGAAGUGAUUACCCAACUAAAGAUUGUACUUCCCAGAUGCCCCUUGCUUAUCUGCACAGGGACGUGCAAUUCGUUUUCACCCUUGGAAUGCGAGUUGGUGGUGUGAUACUCUGGGCGAAGCUAAUUAAGCAGGUGGGCCUUCUCCACUCUUUUCCUCAACCCCAGACUGCCAACUUCAAGUGAGGUCUUGUCAACCCUGGGGCGGCAGUCACAAGCUGGAAGACACCUGGGUCCUUCAGUCACACCAUGUGGAAAGCUGCCUCAAUACCCACAUUGGUUCCUUGUAAAAACGAGAAAUAAACUUUUGUUUUCUUUUGAGAUGGAGUCUCACUCUGUAGCCCAGGCUGGAGUGCAGUGGAGCUCUUGGUUCACUGCAACUUCCGCCUCCCAGGUCCAGGUUCAAGCAGUUCUCCUGCCUCAGCCUCCCCAGUAGCUGGGAUUACAGGCACAUGCCACCAUGCCCAGCUAAUCUUUGUAUUUUUAGUAGAGAUGGGGUUUCACCAUGUUGGCUAGGCUAGUCUUGAACUCCUGAUGUCGUGAUCUAUCCCCCUCAGCCUCCCAAAGUGCUGGGAUUAUAGGCGUGAGCCACCGUGCCCAAACUUUUUCUUAUGCUACCAAAAGUUUGAUGUCACCUAUCAUAGCACUUGGUGUUAUUUUAACUAACAGAAUGUUUAAUCAGACUUUCAAAUGUUGAGAUGAGGGCAAGAGUCAGGUAGCAAUCAAUCUCUCUCUUAAUCUCAAUUAAGUGUGAUUCCCAGUUAGACUUUUAGUCAUCCUGGGUUGUCGGUGCACGUGCAGAGAAUUAACAGCAUUUAGAGAUUCUUAAAGCAGCAGCAGAGGCUGCACAGUUGGAUAAGCCAUGGAUUUCUCAAAUAAAUUUGAGCGAGACCCACACAACCUUGAGCAGACUUAUAAGAUGAAUUUGUUUCAGAUUCCUCAGCGCAUGUCAGAACCCACUUCCUCCCCACUCACAUCUGUUAGAUUCCUUCCCACCCUUUGUACUCACUCACUAGGGAGCUUGCAGCCAUUCCAAGCCACUCACGAGCAAGCAUAGGGCUUAGGAGCACAAACAUGGUACUUUUUAGAAGAAAUGCACAGAGGCUUUGUCUCCAGUAUAGUACUAAUCAGUCCCUUUACUUCUCAACUCUUAGGUGCCUAUUUCCAACUAUACUCAACAGAUACACAAGUGGAAUGUGUAUAAAUUAUGCACAUGAAAAGGGAACACUUCAAAGCUCCUUCAAGCUUGAGGUUUAUUUGGAUAUAAAGGUAUACUUAUUAAAGUGGUAAGUUUUCUUUUGGUCAUGGCAACUCAUUAAUCAGGCAACAAUUUACUGAACUCCGAAUUCUUAACACUUCACUGGGAGAGAGGGAAAAGGACAAGAGAGUAUGAGGAAAAACGUUUAAAAGAGAAAGUUCUGGUAUACACUUGCCCAGGUUGAGAGAAAACAAAAUAAAAUGUAGCUGACCUCUUUUAUCAUUCCUGGUAACAUACACUUAGGUUAAAAUCCCUUACCCUCUAAAUGCAAUGAUUUUCUGUUGUUUUGAGGGGGUAUUUCUGUUUUGAUUGUCUGAAUUCACUAGUAAAUAAACGUUCCCUUAGUGAGCCAGACCAGCCAAUGUGCCCAAGAAGCUGGUGGAGGAUCAGCCAACACCCUGGCCUUUCAAAGAGUCAGCUAUUUGUUUUAACCCAUUUCUUCCUGAGCUAUACUUUAAACAUGCAUCCUGAGUUUUUUUUUUUUUCUUGAUCAGGUCUACGGUAGGGUUUUCCAGUGUUAUUUCAAAGUAAAGCAAUUUAUGUAUCAAUCUUAUCACUAGCCACUAUCACUUGGCUCUCUUAGCAAGUCAGAAAGAACAUAGGUCACAGCAACUAGAGCAAGAGCAGCAUUUACCUUUACUGAACUGUCCAACUGCCCCUGAUAAGAUCUAAUGUCAUUAGGAGCUCAAGAAUGAAAAAAAAAAAACAGCACUUACAAAGGAGGACGGUAUUAAUGACAAAGAAUCCCCAUGGUUUGGUCACAUUAGAAACACAACGCCUUCAUUCUUCAUCAAUAUUUAUUGGGCGCCUAUUAUG